GACGAACGCUGGCGGCGUGCUUAACACAUGCAAGUCGAACGGAAAGGCCCUGCUUUUGUGGGGUGCUCGAGUGGCGAACGGGUGAGUAACACGUGAGUAACCUGCCCUUGACUUUGGGAUAACUUCAGGAAACUGGGGCUAAUACCGGAUAGGAGCUCCUGCUGCAUGGUGGGGGUUGGAAAGUUUCGGCGGUUGGGGAUGGACUCGCGGCUUAUCAGCUUGUUGGUGGGGUAGUGGCUUACCAAGGCUUUGACGGGUAGCCGGCCUGAGAGGGUGACCGGCCACAGGGGGGAUGAGAGACGGCCAGGACUCUGAGGGGGGGAGGAAGGGGGGAUUAUGGAAAAAGGGGGGGAAGCCGGAUGCAGCAACGCCGCGGGGGGGAGGAGGGCCUUGGGUUUGAAACCCCUUUGCGCCGGUGACGAGGGUGGAGUGAGGGUAGGGGAAAAAAAAGCCCCGCCAAACUAGGUG
rnacentral:rRNA from 1 species